AUUGAACGCUGGCGGAAUGCUUUACACAUGCAAGUCGAACGGCAGCACGGGGCAACCUGGUGGCGAGUGGCGAACGGGUGAGUAAUACAUCGGAACGUGCCCAAUCGUGGGGGAUAACGUAGCGAAAGUUACGCUAAUACCGCAUACGAUCUACGGAUGAAAGCGGGGGAUCGCAAGACCUCGCGCGAAUGGAGCGGCCGAUGUCAGAUUAGGUAGUUGGUGGGGUAAAGGCUCACCAAGCCGACGAUCUGUAGCCGGUGUGAGAGGAAGACGCGCCACACUGGGACUGAGACACGGCCCAGACUCCUACGGGAGGCAGCAGUGGGGAAUUUUGGACAAUGGGCGCAAGCCUGAUCCAGCCAGUCCGCGUGCAGGAUGAAGGCCUUCGGGUUGUAAACUGCUUUUGUACGGAACGAAACGGUGAGCUCUAAUACAGUUUGCUAAUGACGGUACCGUAAGAAUAAGCACCGGCUAACUACGUGCCAGCAGCCGCCGUAAUAC
rnacentral:rRNA from 1 species